GGACCAUUAGCUCAGUUGGUUAGAGCGCACGCUUGAUAAGCGUGAGGUCGCUGGUUCAAGUCCAGCAUGGUCCA
rnacentral:tRNA from 1 species